rnacentral:rRNA from 1 species
GACGAACGCUGGCGGCGUGCUUAACACAUGCAAGUCGAACGGAAAGGCCCUGCUUGUAGGGUGCUCGAGUGGCGAACGGGUGAGUAACACGUGGGUGAUCUGCCCCUUACUUUGGGAUAAGCCUGGUAAACUGGGCCUAACACUGGAUAGGACCAUGCUGUAGGUGGUGUGGUGGAUAGAUUAGUUUCGGUAAGGGAUGAGCUCGCGGCCUAUCAGCUUGUUGGUGGGGUAAUGGCCUACCAAGGCGUUGGCGGGUAGCCGGCCUGAGAGGGUGGACGGCCCGGUUGGGACUCAGAUGCGGGGCAGAAUCCUGCGAGCGGCAGCAGUGGGGGAAAGUGCGCCAUGGGCGCAAGGCGGGUGUAGCGACGCCGCGCGGGGGGUGACGCCCUGCGGGUUGUAAAGUCCUUUCGGCCAUGACGAAGCCCUUGUGGUGACGGUAGUGGUAGAAGAAGCACCGGCUAACUACGUG